GCGAGGGUGGCGGAAUUGGUAUACGCACCAGACUUAGAAUCUGGCGGGAAACCAUGGGGGUUCAACUCCCCCCUCUCGCA
rnacentral:tRNA from 1 species